rnacentral:misc_RNA from 1 species
CGCGAUUUCAUCUCAAGCCCAAUGACACAUCACAGGCAUCCUCCUCCGCCUGGUCCUCCUCCUCCACCAGGGCCUCCAAUGCCACCUCCACCUUUUGCACACCCUCCACCUCCACCCGAUCCUUUUGCUCCCCCACCACCAGGUUUGUAUCAUCCACCUCCACAACCACCUUACCCUUCUGCACCACCGCCGCCUGGUCCUCCACCUCCAGACCCUUUUGCACCACCACCACCGUUCGAUCCACCACCUCCUCCAUUUGCUCACCCACCACCACCAGGUCCUCCUCCACCUUAUCAUUCGCCUCCGCCUCCUUAUUAGUACACAAUAAAAUAUAUGUAUGCGUUCUUUAGCUUCUUUUUCGAGUUGUAACUUGUUACGAUGGUAUAUUAAUUUAGACAAACGUAUUGUAUGUACUUAUUUGAAAACAAUAAUAGACUUCUUGAUUAUUAUGUACAUUUGCAUGCUUCAAAUUUC